UCUGCCUCCUAAAUGCUGGGAUUAAAGGGUGUGCCACCACUGCUCUGCUAGUCUAAGGCUUUCCAGAGAAGGAUCAUGUUCUUGCAGGGUCCCAUUUCUCUCAGUAGACAAGAGAGGCUAAACCAGGCUGCAGGUGACAGGAAGAAUUGAAUAAACUGAAAGCAAAGGGCAGCCUUCUAAUUACGCUUCGUGGCUAUGUGGACAACCUGGAGAAGUCUGGAAACAAAGAAGCCAGAAGCCCGAAGCCAGCAGUAGAGCUCUGACUGGCUUGUAUGCCUAGAAAGGAAGGGCUCUUCUUUCGCCUCACGGGCACAAAUGGGACCCACGAGCGCCGAUUUCAGACUAUUCUGAUCCCUUCAAAAAGAAAGUUAGGAGUCCAGGCUACUUCACUUUGGUGAUAGUAAUCAAACCCUAAUCACGGUGCAGCCACAAGUCACAGAGACCGAAAUAGCAGACUUAUGACAGACAAGGAUGGAGACAGCUAAGGAACUGGCUAUUAAUCACCAGUCCCUCUGCUCACAGCCCAUUGGACCCGAGGGUGAAGGAUGAGGAGGAUGGAAGAAAAUGGGAGUGGCGCUUGCUGCAAAGGGUCUCGAAGGGUCUCAGCACCUGCGAACUGGCUCCAAUCCAAACUCCACUAUUCAUGGUCAAGUUCACAUAGGGCUUGGGGUUCUAACAAGAUGUGACUAAACUUACGUUUUCUAUCUUAUUGAUUGUUGUUGAUGCACGUCUGGUGGUACAUGCUUGAAGAACACAGACACCCUGAGAAGAAAGACAUAGCUCCCCAGAUUCCAGCACGCACUUCUCUGUGAGCUACCACUGUAGCUGAAGAUACAGGGCUCAGGAGGAACACUUGGCCUUCGCUCUGAACUUCAGGCCCACGUAACCAUCAGCCGACAUGACACUGCAAAGGCACCUUAGCUCUGCUGUCCCAGAUGGCCAAGCCAACCUUAUUCCAGAAGCUACUUCUCCUGAUGUAAGAACCAGACACAAAGGACAACCUCUGCCUCACCCUCCUUCACACAACACUGAGUCUGUCAUCUUUGAAGCAUUUCUCAAGCCAUGUUUAUUCCCCUGGCCUACGUGGAACACAGCCAGGGUACGGAACACAACCUCAGCACCGGUCUGCUUUCCUCUCCCCAUUUCUGGUCUUUCUCAGAUGCCCAGAGCUCCUCUGUCCCAAUGACUGCUUAUCAAAGAUCUCACUGUGUCCCCACCCAAGGGGUCUUUGGCCACCCUGUGAAGUCCUAGUGGCCUGGAGUUUGCCC
rnacentral:lncRNA from 1 species